UCACCAACUAAGGCCCCUAAAUGACCGCUCAGUGAUAAAGGAGGUGGGGGUGCAAAGACAACCAGGAGGUUUGCCUAGAAGCAGCCACCCUUUAAAGAGUGCGUAAUAGCUCACUAAUCGAGCGCCCUUGCGCUAAAGAUGAACGGGGCUAAGCGAUCUGCCGCAAGUUGAGG
rnacentral:ncRNA from 1 species